GGAGAGGUGGCCGAGUGGCUGAAGGCAACGGUUUGCUAAACCGUCCAGUGGGUAUAAACCCGCUGCGCGGGUUCGAAUCCCGCCCUCUCCG
rnacentral:tRNA from 1 species